rnacentral:lncRNA from 1 species
UUUUUUUUUUUAAUUUCAGAUUUUAAGUUUUGGAUUUAUGGGGCUUUAUUCAUAAAAAAGGGGUGAUUUUCAACACUUCGGACAAUAACUCAAAAAGGCUUUCACCAAUGUCCAUGAAACCUUCGUGAAUUGUUUAUAUCUAUUGACGUAAGCUCCCUUUCGUUUUUUUUUAAUUUCAGAUUUUAAGUUUUGGAUUUAUGGGGCUUUAUUCAUAAAAAAGGGGGGG